AAUGAAGUUCCCGAGCGGCCAAAGGGAGCAGACUGUAAAUCUGCCGUCAUCGACUUCGAAGGUUCGAAUCCUUCCCCCACCACCA
rnacentral:tRNA from 1 species